CAGUCCAUAAGUCCAAUUUCUACGUGUCUGAUCUGCGACUCAAGACUGGGUUCCACUUCUUUAUCACAGAGUUUGUGGAAUUUAGGGACCUUGAAGAGGAUGGUGUUGCCUGACCUCAUGUGCCAGGCUCAACGGACCCGACCCAAAUGAUCUUACAGACGUGUCUGUUCAUCCAUCUCUCUGUCCAGUCGGCCAUCUGCUCACCCACCUGAAACACACAUGGGAAUGUGCAUAUCCAGGGCACGAGCACUGACCCCAGAAGAAUCCCUCUGAGAAGACCUAGGUAGCUCUCCGAAGAUGGACGUCAGAGAAUGGGCCCCUGAAAUACAUACUUGGGGGACAAGGCACAGUCACUUGGCAGGUGUGUUAUACGAAGGGCAUCGGGUGUAACACAUUUACCGCUUAGCAUGCUCUGGGUAGAGUUAUUCAGAUCUGUUUCCCAACUACUGUAUUCUGCUGUGAAUAAUGCACACCCAUGUUUUAGUGCUGCCCAUGUAUAAUUCACCUCCUUGUCUCGCCCUCAAAAAUUUGGGCAAGAAAGUGCGCAUUACACGUGGCAAAAUACGUAAUGUCGCAGGGUAUGCAAGUCACCGGCAUGUGCCCUCUGAAUUUCAAAGAACAUUUAAUAUUCCACAGAGUUUAACAAUUAAAUACAUUCUUAACUUUGGAAAGUCACCCAUCCGUGGAAAGUAACAGAACUUGAUUAUCUGGUCUACAGCUGCACAUGCCCUUCUCCAACUUCAACCUGGAAAAUGCACUGCAGGAGUCCGUGUAUUUUUGAACAUCAGUCUGAAAACAGAACUACUUAUGUCAUGUGUGAAUCUUAUAUCCAAGAAAAGAGCUACUAACUACUUCUUAAGGAAUCCAAAUUCAAGGAAGACUAAAGAAAACAUGGCUAUUUUGUCCUGGCUGGUGUGGCUCAGUGGACUGAGUGCCAGCCUGUGAACCAAAGGGUCGCUGGUUUGAUUCCCAGUCAGGGCACAUGCCUGGGUUGCAGGCCAAGUUCCCAGUGGGGGCUGUGAGAGACGCAACCACACAUUGAUGUUUCUCUCCCUCUCUUUCUCCUCCC